rnacentral:rRNA from 1 species
UUCAUGGAGAGUUUGAUCCUGGCUCAGGACGAACGCUGGCGGCGUGCCUAAUACAUGCAAGUCGAGCGAACCGACGGGAGCUUGCUCCCUUAGGUUAGCGGCGGACGGGUGAGUAACACGUGGGUAACCUGCCUGUAAGACUGGGAUAACUCCGGGAAACCGGGGCUAAUACCGGAUGCUUGAUUGAACCGCAUGGUUCAA